CGGCGAAAGAAAAUAGCAUAUCAAUAAGCGGAGGAAAAGAAACCAACAGGGAUUGCCCUAGUAACGGCGAGUGAAGCGGCAACAGCUCAAAUUUGAAAUCUGGCUCUUUCAGAGUCCGAGUUGUAAUUUGCAGAGGGCGCUUUGGCUUUGGCAGCGGUCCAAGUUCCUUGGAACAGGACGUCACAGAGGGUGAGAAUCCCGUACGUGGUCGCUAGCUAUUGCCGUGUAAAGCCCCUUCGACGAGUCGAGUUGUUUGGGAAUGCAGCUCUAAAUGGGAGGUAAAUUUCUUCUAAAGCUAAAUAUUGGCCAGAGACCGAUAGCGCACAAGUAGAGUGAUCGAAAGAUGAAAAGCACUUUGGAAAGAGAGUCAAACAGCACGUGAAAUUGUUGAAAGGGAAGCGCUUGCAGCCAGACUUGCUUGCAGUUGCUCAUCCGGGCUUUUGCCCGGUGCACUCUUCUGCAGGCAGGCCAGCAUCAGUUUGGGCGGUGGGAUAAAGGUCUCUGACACGUUCCUUCCUUCGGGUUGGCCAUAUAGGGGAGACGUCAUACCACCAGCCUGGACUGAGGUCCGCGCAUCUGCUAGGAUGCUGGCGUAAUGGCUGUAAGCGGCCCGUCUUGAAACACGGACCAAGGAGUCUAACAUCUAUGCGAGUGUUUGGGUGUCAAGCCCGAGCGCGUAAUGAAAGUGAACGGAGGUGGGAACCCGCAAGGGCGCACCAUCGACCGAUCCUGAAGUUUACGGAAGGAUUUGAGUAAGAGCAUGGCUGUUGGGACCCGAAAGAUGGUGAACUAUGCUUGAAUAGGGUGAAGCCAGAGGAAACUCUGGUGGAGGCUCGCAGCGGUUCUGACGUGCAAAUCGAUCGUCAAAUUUGGGCAUAGGGGCGAAAGACUAAUCGAACUUCCAGCGCCUA
rnacentral:rRNA from 1 species